rnacentral:rRNA from 1 species
GAAGUUAAGCCCGAUUGCGCCGAUGGUACUGCAAUGCAAUGUGGGAGAGUAGGUAGCUGCCUUUU